GGGGAUAUGGCUCUGUGGUAGAGUGUUUGCCUAGCAUGCAUAAGGUCCUGGGUUCAGUUCCCAGAACUACA
rnacentral:tRNA from 1 species